GUUUAUCUCUGUGAGCAUCUCCAAGGGCAGCGUGGUAUUUCAUGUAAGAGGGGGCAAGAAGAGAGGUGGUGCAGGGAUCCAGAUAAAGGAAUUCAGUUGGUUUCAGUCAUCAGAGGGCUUCCAGUGCAAACUGAAGCAUGACCGAGGCCCACAGAGGAUCUCAGAGAUCCAUGAGAGAGAUCUGGAAAUUAAAAGCAAGGGGUAAAAUCCAAGUGUUUUCUCGUCAAGAAUCCUGUGGCAGAAUGGAGCAAAGGAAAUAAGGAAGGAAAGGAAGGAUCUCUAAUCCCAAAAAGAUGGACUAGGUCAGUCUUACCAGCAGAAGACAUGGAGUACCACUCUAGUAGCCUCAAGUGCACCUGAAUGCUCAAACUGUCUGUGCCACCAUGUCCCAGCCCCUCUCUCCCACAGAGGAGCAACAGAAAGAAAUGAAACAACUGCAGUUGAGGAGGGCAAGGAGUUCAGGACGGCUCUAAUCUCCUGAACUUGUUGGUGGGGGGAUGAGGUGAGAAGCGCUUGUUCUUAUUAGCUGAGAAAUAGAAGCUUUGUCGUAAGCAAACUUCGUCAAAGUGCCUGAGCACUCCUGCUUGUGUUUCUGCUGACAUGGCCUGUAGUGGUGCUUGAUGGACUUUUGGGUGACCCCGGAUUUUAGGAGCCUGGAGAUCUUUCAGCUGCAGAAGUGGGACUCAAAGUGCAGUAACAUCCGCAAGUGGGCUGGUGAACUGCAAGACUCAUGUUUAAAAACAGGAUAAUUUUCUAUUGCAUUUCACAUUCCGUGCUGUUAAAAAGAUCUGGGAAAGUGGAAGACAGACCUGCCGUUAUUACAGUGCUUUAGAAACUUCAAAUUUACUCUGUCAGUUCCCAUGUCCAAAGAGGAAAAUGUCUUAAAAUUUCUUAAUUAUUAAAACAAUAUGAAACCAUCUUGCAGAGGUUGGAAGCUUAAACAGACAGCAAGAAGGACACCUAUGCUCCUAAAUUAGAAAUUUUAAAACUAGGUGGGAUGAAUCCAUGCUCCAUGUCUGUUUGCUCUGUGUCCUAUUAAUGGGUGGGGGUGACUUGUCUGUGCCUUCUGUCUGAUGUGCUGAAAAAAUAGUUUCUUGUUGUCCUGCACUGGCAAAGUUUUCAGCCAAGCCCUGAUUCUGGCUCCGCUUUGUCUCCACUGUCACGAGUGAUGCUCCCUGGCUGGCAUGUGCCUUGUGCUUAUCUGAAUUGCCCACAACCCUUUAAUGCUCCUCAGGCUAAUUACUGCCUCAUUAAUCAUUUGCAGUCAGUUUAUGUACUCAUCCUGUUUUCCUGCUUUCAGUGUGUUUGCAUAAGAAAAUGUGUUUCUAUGAAAUGCUUUGUACAGAAUUGUUUAUGGCAGGAAAUAGAUAUAAAAGAGCAGUUGUGUCAUUCCUGAGUGAAAUCCUCACAUGCCUGUAGGCCAAACAUCCCAGAAGGUACUGGUGAUAACUGCUGUGAGCUUCUACCUGUGCUGAGUUGUGGGUCAGGUUGUUGUGACUCUGGAGAAAAGGGACUUAAAAAUAAUAUACAACUUUAAAAUCA